rnacentral:rRNA from 1 species
AUUCCAGCUCCAAUAGCGUAUAUUAAUGUUGUUGCAGUUAAAAAGCUCGUAGUUGGAUUUCUGGUCGGGACGUCUGGCCGGCUCCGCAAGGGGUCGUUGCAUUGACUGUACUCGUCCAUCCUCAGGUUGACUAGCUCUGGUAUUUAUUUAUCGGUGUUAGAACGCCUGUCGUUUACUGUGAACAAAUUAGAGUGUUCAAAGCAAGGUGUACUUGAAUACAUUAGCAUGGAAUAAUAAGAUAGGACUUUGGUGGUUCUUUUUGAUAUUUUGUUGGUUUGCACGCCAAAGUAAUGAUUAAUAGGAGCAGUUGGGGGUAUUCGUAUUCAAUUGUCAGAGGUGAAAUUCUUGGAUUUAUAGAAGACGAACUACUGCGAAAGCAUUUACCAAGGAUGUUUUCAUUA